rnacentral:rRNA from 1 species
AUCCGAUUCCUACGGGAGGCAGCAGUGAGGAAUAUUGGGCAAUGGGCGCAAGCCUGACCCAGCCAUGCCGCGUGAAGGAUGAAUGCCCUAUGGGUUGUAAACUUCUUUUGUACGGGACGAAACUUCUGGUCGUGACCAGGAUUGACUGUACCGUGCGAAUAAGCAUCGGCUAACUCCGUGCCAGCAGCCGCGGUAAUACGGAGGAUGCAAGCGUUAUCCGGAUUUAUUGGGUUUAAAGGGUGCGUAGGCGGAGUAGUAAGUCAGUGGUGAAAUCCUGCGGCUUAACCGUAGAAUUGCCAUUGAUACUGUUAUUCUUGAGUAUAGUUGAAGUGGGCGGAAUGUGUAAUGUAGCGGUGAAAUGCUUAGAUAUUACACAGAACACCAAUUGCGAAGGCAGCUCACUAAGCUGUUACUGACGCUGAGGCACGAAAGCGUGGGGAGCAAACAGGAUUAGAUACCCUGGUAGUCCACGCCGUAAACGAUGAUCACUCGUUGUUGGCGAUACACUGUCAGCGACUGAGCGAAAGCAAUAAGUGAUCCACCUGGGGAGUACGGUCGCAAGACUGAAACUCAAAGGAAUUGACGGGGGCCCGCACAAGCGGAGGAACAUGUGGUUUAAUUCGAUGAUACGCGAGGAACCUUACCUGGGCUUGAAAGGGGAACGACCUCCCGGGAAACCGGGAUUCUCUUCGGAGCGUUCUCCUAGGUGCUGCAUGGUUGUCGUCAGCUCGUGCCGUGAGGUGUCGGGUUAAGUCCCAUAACGAGCGCAACCCCUAUUGUUAGUUGCCAGCGGGUAAUGCCGGGAACUCUAACGAAACUGCCGGUGUAAACCGUGAGGAAGGUGGGGAUGACGUCAAAUCAGCACGGCCCUUAUGUCCAGGGCUACACACGUGUUACAAUGGCCGGUACAAAGGGCAGCUACUUGGUGACAAGAUGCUAAUCUCUAAAACCGGUCUCAGUUCGGAUCGAAGUCUGCAACUCGACUUCGUGAAGCUGGAUUCGCUAGUAAUCGCGCAUCAGCAAUGGCGCGGUGAAUACGUUCCCGGGCCUUGU